rnacentral:RNase_P_RNA from 1 species
AAAGUAGUCCAGGCGAUCGCGUCAGGCAGCUGCCUGAUGAGGAAAGUCCGAACUCCACAGGACAGGACGCUCCGUAACGCGGAGGAGGGGAAACCCUACGGAAAGUGCCACAGAAAAUACACGGCCGAUGGCCCGGAAACUACCGGGUACAGGCAAAGGUGAAAUGGUGAGGUAAGAGCUCACCGUUUCGGCAGUGAUGUCGAAAGCAAGGUAAACCCCGUCCGGAGCAAGACCAAAUAAGUCCCGCUUAUUCGACCGUUUCAUGGUUUCCCAUGAUCAAAUGAAUAGUGAAGUUGUCCGCUUUAAUCCCGACUUGUCGGGAUGGUGGGACGGGUAGGUUGCUUGACCCCGUCAGUAAUGGCGGGGCUAGAUAAAUGGUCGCCUCCUCGGCAAAAUGCCGAGCAGACAGAAUUCGGCUUAUCGGGCUACUUUGGAU